AGAAUAAUCGCCAGGAAAGCAAUCCUCUAACCAAUCUCCAAGCGGAAUCCACUUACCUAUGAUGUCACGUGUUUUCUAAGACGGACAUUUUUUUUUUUCUAUGGAUGGAUUUUAUACGUAGUUCUAUUUUAAAUAAUAUAUUGGAUUAUAAGUGAUAAAAACUUGCAAUGAUUAUGGUAAUUUCCUGUCGGAUAUUACCUGGAACUCAGGCAUAUUCCGAUUUUAUUGAUUGCAAAAAAAUAGAUUUGUUUGUUAUUAAAAAGUGUAAGGAAUCAUGACCUUCGCCAUCUUGGAAUCGAUUAUAUAAAUAUUUGUCAUUUUUGAGACUACGAAUAUGUGCUGUCUGGAAGUGAAUUCUUCGUAUUUAAAACGGGUGCCUGAAGUAUUUUUAAACCAAGGAAAUGCUUUGUUACUGCCAGCAUUAGUCACUCUGAAGAAAGGCUACUGCAGUAUCGCUGGAGGUAGAAGCUUCACGCAAGUUACAAUCUAGUUGUAUCUACAUCAGAUCUACCUUAUGAAAUUAUGCAAGGUCCGCCCGUUCUCUCCUUUAAGUUAGUACAGACGGCUUGACUUGGACAACAAAUAAUACAUUUUUGAAAAAGGUAUUGUGUUGGAUAUCAAGAUGGAAAAUCGAUGACCUUGAAGCAUGUAAACCUUUUCAUUUUAUAUAUUUCUAGCAAAAUCAAUGAUUAAAGCUCAAUUACAAGUUUGUUUUUCUAGUUUAUGUAAAUUCACAAAUUGCAUUUCAUGAUUUUAAGAAAAUAUUUAUAAUAAUUUAAAAAAUUAUGGAUAAUAAUUUAGAAUUAAAUUAUUAUUCGAGAUUUUUAAAAAAUUGCAUGAAUUAAAAAUUAAUUAAAUUUAUUAUUAUUAAUUACUUUUAGAAAAAAUUUAUAAAACCAUGUUCUGUAACAGUUUAAGUUAUCCGAUAAAAUAUAUGGUAAUAAGUAUACUAUUUGCCUCAAAUUUGUAAAUAAUUUUUGUAUUUGAAAAUGAAAAUAAAUUCGAAAAUUAUUUUUUUCUUUUGUGAUCUAAUGGAAUAUGCUAUUAAGAAUUAUAAACUGAAGA